AAGUCGUAACAAGGUUUCCGUAGGUGAACCUGCGGAAGGAUCAUUAACACGUAUCCAACGUUAAACCCCCCGUGAACCUUCAGUGCGCUCGCACUUUCUUAGAAAAGGUAGCAAUCCCUGGUAAAUCAUUGCCGAACAGUUUUGAUUCAGGGACUUCUGCGUAGACUGUGCUUGAGCGUGAGGCAAGUGGCCUGGCAUUCCUCUGCUUGUUGGUGUCUGAAAGUGUCACCAGCUCUGUACGAAUGGCGCAGUCACGAUCGCUAGAGGCCGACACGGCCGGCGACCUCGUCACCUUUGCAUGAAAACGGGCCUGCGCUUAAUUGUGCGGCCACCAAACUCGAACAACUGUUAACAAUGGAUAUCUUGGUUCUC
rnacentral:misc_RNA from 1 species